GUCUAUGGCCAUACCACCCUGAACAUGCCCAAUCUCGUCUGAUCUCGGAAGCUAAGCAGGGUCGGGCCUGGUUAGUACUUGGAUGGGAGAACUAAUAAAAGCAGGAGAAAUAUACG
rfam:Heterocephalus glaber contig61547, whole genome shotgun sequence.